GAUGAACGCUGGCGGCGUGCCUAACACAUGCAAGUCGAGCGAUUUACUUCGGUAAAGAGCGGCGGACGGGUGAGUAACGCGUGGGUAACCUGCCCUGUACACACGGAUAACAUACCGAAAGGCAUGCUAAUACGAGAUAAUAUACUUUUAUCGCAUGGUAGAAGUAUCAAAGCUUUUGCGGUACAGGAUGGACCCGCGUCUGAUUAGCUAGUUGGUAAGGUAACGGCUUACCAAGGCGACGAUCAGUAGCCGACCUGAGAGGGUGAACGGCCACAUUGGAACUGAGACACGGUCCAAACUCCUACGGGAGGCAGCAGUGGGGAAUAUUGCACAAUGGGCGAAAGCCUGAUGCAGCAACGCCGCGUGAGCGAUGAGGGCCUUCGGGUCGUAAAGCUCUGUCCUCAAGGAAGAUAAUGACGGUACUUGAGGAGGAAGCCCCGGCUAACUACGUGCCAGCCGCCGCAGUAA
rnacentral:rRNA from 1 species